GAGAUAUUAGUAAAGAAUUUACACUGCCUUGUCAAGACAGAAUCGUAGGUUAAACCCCUAUAUAUCUUG
rnacentral:tRNA from 1 species